ACAGUCCAAAAACCUGUUAGUCUGACUACAUUAAACUGUCGUUUGAGUCACAAAAAUGUACAUUGCAUGUUUAAGGGCUGUUUUUAAAGGAAUGUUAUUUGUAUUCACAAUUUGUUUGAAUUUGAGAACACACUUAACUAUUGUAUUCAAGACAUACCAUGACACAGAUCAAUAUUGUCUGUAUGCUAAUUGUUAUUCUUUCUAGGUUGUUUUGUACAUUCUUUCUGUCUCCUCUACCCUCGUAUGAUUCAAUAUAUGUGCAGAAUUUCACACGCCUUGUGCAACUGAAGUCCAAGUUUAUGCCAGAACUUGACAUCAUCUGCUCCAGGCUGUCUGCUGAGUGCCAUAGGAAGGGAGGAGAAACGGGACAUAAGAUUAAGGAGAUCAUGGCUGCCAUUGAUUGGAAUCCUAUCAUUGGUUCGUUGAGAGUUUGCCACCUGAAAGCACUUGUUGUGUACUUGAAGACCCCGAUAAACUCAUAAAGGAAUACCUGAGCUGCCAGAUGGUGUCAUCACUGAAAGCAGUCAUAAACAACAUGGCAGAUUCAUCUAUUUCCUCCAGCCAAAGCGACUCACCACGCACUACCAGUAACAAGAAAUGUUAUUUAUUUUAGCUUUUGUUUAUACUUCAUUUUACUUCAUGUGGCUGAAUUGUUAGCCAGCUGGAAACCAGUAUUUUUGAUAAUGUAUUUGUUUGCCCUUUUUUUUCCAUUUAAGGCGCCUAGUUUUAAAGAAUAUUGUGAAUGCACUCAUUAAUAUAUAAUAAAUACUGGAUUAAGAUAUGCUCAUAAAUACUGGAUUAAGAGUAUUUUUGGUAUGUUUUA